AGAGGUUUAGGUUAAACCAGACCAAGGACCUUCAAAGCCCUAAGUAAAUCACACAGAUUUAACCUCUG
rnacentral:tRNA from 1 species